AACCGAGAACUCCUACGGGAGGCAGCAGUGGGGAAUAUUGGACAAUGGGCGGAAGCCUGAUCCAGCCAUGCCGCGUGUGUGAAGAAGGCCUUCUGGUUGUAAAGCACUUUAAGCGAGGAGGAGGCUACUUGGAUUAAUACUCUAGGAUAGUGGACGUUACUCGCAGAAUAAGCACCGGCUAACUCUGUGCCAGCAGCCGCGGUAAUACAGAGGGUGCGAGCGUUAAUCGGAUUUACUGGGCGUAAAGCGUGCGUAGGCGGCUCCUUAAGUCGGAUGUGAAAUCCCCGAGCUUAACUUAGGAAUUGCAUUCGAUACUGGGAAGCUAGAGUAUGGGAGAGGAUGGUAGAAUUCCAGGUGUAGCGGUGAAAUGCGUAGAGAUCUGGAGGAAUACCGAUGGCGAAGGCAGCCAUCUGGCCUAAUACUGACGCUGAGGUACGAAAGCAUGGGGAGCAAACAGGAUUAGAUACCCGUGUAGUCCGACUGAGA
rnacentral:rRNA from 1 species